rnacentral:rRNA from 1 species
GUGGGGAAUUUUGGACAAUGGGCGCAAGCCUGAUCCAGCAAUGCCGCGUGCAGGAAGAAGGCCUUCGGGUUGUAAACUGCUUUUGUACGGAACGAAACGGUCCGGGUUAAUACCCUGGGCUAAUGACGGUACCGUAAGAAUAAGCACCGGCUAACUACGUGCCAGCAGCCGCGGUAAUACGUAGGGUGUAAGCGUUAAUCGGAAUUACUGGGCGUAAAGCGUGCGCAGGCGGUUUUGUAAGACAGGCGUGAAAUCCCCGGGCUCAACCUGGGAAUUGCGGUUGUGGCUGCAAGGGUGGAGUGCGGCAGAGGGGGAUGGAAUUCCGCGUGUAGCAGUGAAAUGCGUGGAUAUGCGGAGGAACACCGAUGGCGAAGGCAAUCCCCUGUGCCUGCACUGACGCUCAUGCACGAAAGCGUGGGGAGCAAACAGGAUUAGAAACCCGUGUAGUCC